rnacentral:rRNA from 1 species
GUACACUCCUGCGGGAGGCAGCAGUGGGGAAUUUUGGACAAUGGGCGAAAGCCUGAUCCAGCAAUGCCGCGUGAGUGAAGAAGGCCUUCGGGUUGUAAAGCUCUUUUGUCAGGGAAGAAACGGUGAAAGCUAAUAUCUUUUGCUAAUGACGGUACCUGAAGAAUAAGCACCGGCUAACUACGUGCCAGCAGCCGCGGUAAUACGUAGGGUGCAAGCGUUAAUCGGAAUUACUGGGCGUAAAGCGUGCGCAGGCGGUUUUGUAAGUCUGAUGUGAAAUCCCCGGGCUCAACCUGGGAAUUGCAUUGGAGACUGCAAGGCUAGAAUCUGGCAGAGGGGGGUAGAAUUCCACGUGUAGCAGUGAAAUGCGUAGAUAUGUGGAGGAACACCGAUGGCGAAGGCAGCCCCCUGGGUCAAGAUUGACGCUCAUGCACGAAAGCGUGGGGAGCAAACAGGAUUAGAUACCCCGGUAGUCC